UUCAAGUAUGUAUUUCUCCUUUAACAGUUCUCUGAAUGACAUUUCCGGGACUGACUCUGCUCCUCUACUGCUCACCUGGAACAUCAGGAAUGGAACAAUGACAGUGUACAGCUACUCUCAAUACAAGGAAAACAAAUACUUGUUCAUCAUGUAAUACAUCAGUAUAAAAGAUAAGGAAAAACAGUGUUUGUUGACUCCUGACACUCUAACCAGUGUUCAUCCAGAAUUUUAAUAUACUGGUAUUCAUAUAAAACCAUAACAUUUCUUCUGUUACUCCCUACUUGUGAGUGUAAAGGCUGAGAUACUGCAGAAGAAAAGAAAAAAAAAAAAUCACCUGCAAAGAUCCCCCAGACCCAUGACAAACCUGAAAACCCUGGAAAUAUACCAGAAAGCUGGCAUGAAAGUUUGUGUUUUGACAAAUGUACUGCAAGAGUAAUGCCCCUCCAGCCAGAAUUUUAAAGUCAAAAUUUCUUCUGAACAUUAGUCCAUCACUUUGCACAUGUGUUAUGGUAAAGAAGGAUGUGUUAGCGUUUUUUGGUAGUUUAUAUUAAUGAGAUUUUCCAAAGACCUGAAAACUGUAACUUUGCUCUUUACCAAAGAUUCACCUGAAUA